AGUACCGCCAGCCUCUCCGCUUCGCGCGGAACUUGCACGCCCGGAAUAGUUCCGUCUCGCGGCAGUAAAAGUUUUCCGCUUGCGCGUCCCGAAAUCGGACGAACGGCGCUCUCUCUCUCUCUCUUUCUCUCUCUCUCUCCCUCUCUCCCUCUCUCUCUCUCUCUCUCUCUCUCUCUCUCUCUCUCGGCGUGCAGAGGAGAAGCCAGCGGAGACCGGGUGGUGUUGCCCUCGCUAGCGAGCGAGAUCUUCGAUUUUCAGCCGAGACCCCUGAGACGGUGCCCUGUCUGCGAGUUCCGCGACCCACGGACCCGCGGACGCCUUGAGCCCACGCUUGAGCCUUGAAGAUCCUUGGAAGCGGAUACCGCGCGCGCGCGGAACGCCAGGAUGGACGGAACCGACGCGUUGGUGAGGACCAGCGACGGCGACGGCGACAUGGUGAACAGCGGAGGUCGACGCGACGACGACGACGAGGCGCCCACCGUCGAGGAGACCUACGAGGUCACCACCACCAGGCGCAAGACCGUCCGCACCAGCUACAAAAUCCAAGAGACUUCCUCGUCUACCAAGAAAACCACCAUGACCACGGCAGCCAAGUUGUACGGCAAGGAUCUCAGUGAGUACGAAGAUAUUGACGUGGAUGAGCUACUGGCACAACUCACGCCGGAAGAGAUCAAUAUACUCGCCAAGGAAGUGGAUCCUGAUGAUAGCUUCAUGCCACCUUCGCAACGUUGCAGUUAUGAAUGUGACAAGAGUCCUACAGGGCCGCUGAAUCGAAAGAAACUCAUCGAGCACAUCAACAAGCAGGCUCUGGAGACGCCUGAUAUUCCAGAGCUGAAGCCAUAUGUACCUGGUGUGAUCAGAGGCAAAAAAUGGAUACCUCCGCCGCAAGAGACUAUAAAAGAGAAGGAGGCAGAGGAACAGAUCGCGAUAGAUCUCGGGGAAGAGUACGAACAAGCUCUCUCGUCAGCCACCCAAGAAGAAAUCAUCGAUCUUGCUGCUAUUCUUGGAUUCCAUUCCAUGAUGAAUCAAGAUCAGUAUCACGCGUCCUUGUUGAACUCUGGACAACCGGUCGGACUCGGCUGGGACGGCGUGACGAAGGCUAGCCAACCGAAGGUCUAUCCCAUGGAGCCGCCCAACGACACAGACGUCGACGCCACCAUCAAACAAGUGCGCGACGAUGACUCAGCUCUGACCGACUUGAAUUGGAACAAUAUUAAAAAUAUCUCGGACGAAAAGUUCAUGCAGUUGUUCGAAGGCUUGGAAAUAAACACUCACCUCGAAUCGCUGAGUUUAACCAAUGUUGGACUGAACGACAAAACUGCGCAACGGCUGGCAGACGCUGUAGAGAAGAAUUCGACGCUCAGAGUACUCAACGUGGAAACAAACUUUAUAAGCCCGGCUGUGAUAGUGAGGCUCAUCAGGGCCCUUCUCAAAACGAAGUCCAUUGAAGAGUUCCGAUGCUCGAACCAGAGGUCACAAGUGUUGGGUAACAAAAUCGAGAUGGAAAUCACACAGUUGGUGGAACAAAACCCGACAUUGCUGCGACUCGGGUUGCACUUGGAGUUCAACGACGCUAGACACCGCGUGGCCGCGCAUCUGCAACGCAACAUUGACAGGAUCUGCCGUGUGGAACCCAUGGAACGCGCUAAGGUCGUAGCGAUCGGUGCUGGUGCUGGAACCUUCACCGUUCUCCCCGUAGAUGACUUAAAAAACCGAGCGUAGCGCUGUCGCGGCGCAUACGGAAAGAUCUAACGCUGCGGCUACAGUUCCGAUUCUUUAACAUGAACCACAGGAAACCUGCCUUGAUCCAAUGAAAGAUCGGCUGCAACGCAUGGGAAGACCCUCUCGCAACUAUACCAUUGGCUGGGCCCGGGGCUGAUGAUCGCCGCGAUGAUGGCAACGACGACGACGACGAUGACGACAACAACGACGACGACAACGACGACGACGACGACGACGACGACGACAACGACGACGAGGACGAUGAUAAUACGGUGAGAUGCCGAUGAUCGUGCGAUUCCCACAAGUGCACCGCCGUCGAACGGCCCGCAUACAGACACAUAUAUUCUCCACACACACACACACACACACACACACGCUAUCGUCGAGUCCUUGGAUCCUGCGGAGCGUAGGAAGAUCUCUGCGCGCACGGAUAGCGGGAUCUUCUGUCGGGAACCUCCAGAGCGCCUCGGACGCGCGACGCUUGCGGAUCCUCCCGGAUCCUCGAUUAACGUCCUGCGUGCUUGCAAGUCUCUUUGAUCCUCGGGAUCUCGUCGUUUACCUGGGACAACCCGUUCGACGGAUCACACUCGGCGGGCGAUCCUGACAGCCUUCGAGGAGAUGGACGCGGAUGGAGAGCCGGAAAGCUUCGCGAAAAGCACAUGACAAAUUAUACAUGGAUGUCUCUCGUCUUUGUUGUUCUCCAAAUGCAUAUAUAUAUAUAUAUAUGUGUGUGUGUGUGUGUGUGUAUAUAUAUAUGUAUAUAUAUAUAUAUAUAUACACAUGUAUAUAUAUAAAUAUAUAGGCAAAUAUAUAUUUAUAUAUAUUUCCGCACUAGAGCUCUAUGUAACGCACGGAGGACACUUCAAUGCGGUUUCUCGCGCGACGUCAUGAUGUAAUAAAUACUUUAUACAUGUAUACACAUUAAUUAAUAUACGCGGCCGACGCGUGACUUGUCGAUAAUGUUAAUCAAUUAAUAUAUAUAUAUUGCGACGCGCGCGCACUUUAAUUGAUAAGUUAUCGGAGAUGAAGUAACGUGAGCAGAAAGCCGAGAGGAUACCGACUUUUUUAAUAUAUAUAUAUAUAUAAAUUAAAAUAAUAUACACGUCGCGCGACUCCCGUUCAUUGCUUUAACGUCUAGCUAACCGGAUUAUUUAAAUAUUUAUACAUACGGAGGAGAAGGCGAGGAAGAAAAGAGGAGGAACGCAGCUCCUUUCGAUCGACUCGCGCCAAAACUUUCGGUCGACCGCGCGCCGAGCGAUCGUCGGGGACGAAUUUUCUACACGCGAUCUCUCUCUCUCUCUCUCUCUCUCUCUCUCUCUCUCUCCGUCGUUCUGCUCUCGUCGGAACUUUUUUCUCGUUAUUACCGUCUCUCAUUAUGCUGCCCGACGAAACGGCUCGUCGUCCUUUGCGCCUUGAAACGAGCGCAAAAAUGGUUUCUUCGGGUCAGCUGGCAUUAAUGUCGGAUAAUUGAGCAACUGUCAGAGCGCGAGAUUGGAUUUUCCUUCCACGAAAAUGAAAUAACGCUUAAUCUUCGUCGAUAUAUAAAGGUGACGAGACGCACGAAGCUGGCGCAGUUUCGUCGUCGAGUCGACGCUCGUUUUUUACACGCGACAACUGAUUAUUCCUGUUUUUAAACAUAUCACUCGCAUCGUGUCGGCGCACGGAGGCUAAUUAGUCAGUGCUCUGUCAACACGUAAAGUUUCGGAGGAGAAAGAGAAAACGAACGCGCGAACGAAGCGAAAAAAGCACCGACCCGAUCGUUCCGCUCGGCGUCUAACGUCACUGUAAUAUUCUCUAAGGUACUAACUCGUUGUUUAAAUUAAUAAUUAUUUUAGCAUAAAUAUACAUAUACGAGUCUCCGAGUCUCUGUACAUAUUGUCUUCAAUGUUCGUUUCUAAUCGAUCAAUGUGAUCUACGUGUUAUGACGAAGGAGAGAAUGGAUUGAUUUGACGCGCGAGAGUGGCGCAAUUGUUUCUCUGCGUGUACGCGCGUGCGGAUGAGAGGAAGAGAAGGGGGGCGGGAGUGCGUGAAUGUGAGGAUAAUUACGCGAGAGCAGUUAAUCACGUGGCGUCAAAAGUGGUCACGCCCGAUCGUCACCGUCUCGCGCGAGUCGAGCCCGCCGAUAUAAUAAAGAUAUCGCUAAUUACGCGCGCCGCCAUUGAAUCAUCGUCGCUCGCUGUCCCUAGAAUCAGCUCCGACAUGGAGAGUCAUCGGAGAGAGCCGAAAGCUCUCGAUCAGCCGAGAGCAGGACCUCGCGCCUCUUUUUCUCUUCUCUUCGAGAGAAAACGAUGCGCAGAGUUCCUCGCGACAAGCGCGCUCGAGUCGCGACGGCGACAAAGAGGGUGACGAGGAGGAAAGUAAGGAAGAGAAGCAAGAACAAAGUUAACAAUAACGAUAAGCGGCGUCGCGAAUCGAGCGUCUCGCUCGCUCGCGGUAUUCUUCAUUGUAAACGUGUAUCGCACCCUGUCACACACACACACACUCCGGAAACACGCAUCACAUUUCACGUGCACACGUGACACACACCGAAACUCGAGUGCACGCGCACGAUCAAAGCCUUGCCGCUAAGCCUUAUCUUGUAACACGAGGUUUCAAUAAACUGCUGAAAGAAAAGA